ensembl:lncRNA
CUACAUUUUAAGAGGUAGACAACUCUCCAAGUGUGUUUCUUCCACCAAACCCCAAACACUGUAAUGAAAACAGUCCUUAUUAAAAUAAAGCACUUGAAGUAUGUUGUCAGAACGUAUAUGAAUCAAAGGGUAAGUCUUCAUGGAAGAACUUGGAACAUAAAUUCCCCUCAGCUGAAGUGGAGUAGGAAUGUAUACAAAAGAAAAUUACAAAUGGAGGAGCACCUAAGCUAACCCAGCACCACCUCCUGCACUGGCAUCCUGCCCAGGAACACCAAGAUAAGUCUAAAAUAAGUGCCACAUAUGGAUGGUUUUGUUCAUAUCGUGGCUGCUGAACAGCCAUGAGGAUGUUGUGCACUUUGCCAGCUCCUGGAGCGCUGUGAUCUGUCCUAAGACCUGGCCACACCAAGAAUGGGUUGCACUGCCCUGGGCUCUUCCAGCAACUGUCCACUCCAUCAGCUGCCAGAGGCAGAAGGAAAACAGCAAUAAAGCUGCACAGAGAGAAAACAAAUAAUUCCUGGUUCCUGAGGGCACUGGGAAAGGAAACACAGAUAUGCCUGUGGGAACAAGGCGAAGCAGAUUUGUGCAUGUUACAACUUGAUUCUCAGUGAGAAAUGGACCAAAAUACUUCCAAAAAACUUAGGAGGGAAACGUAAAAAUUUUAAAAAUUGUCCUGUAGAGUUACCAAAUUAAACUCAGAGUUUGGAAAUGGCAUUUUCAUUCAAAACUGACUGCAAAAUAAAAUCAACAUAAUAAUCCUAAAAUAAAUAAAUAUGUAUAUAUUUCAAUUACAUUCUUCAUUUUAGCAAUUUACUCUGAAUGGAUUUUUUUCUUUAUUUAUCAUCAUUUGAUUCGGACAGAAUAAAAAGUACAUGCUUAGUAUUUGCCUCAUUCCAAUUCUCACUCUCUUCGUGGUUUGAAACCUUUUGCGAAACCCCCUCGUGGCAGCUAGGUGGCAUUACUAUUGCUUCUAUUGUGUUUGUUUGCCAACCCCUUUGUUACCCAAAGAUCGUACUACUUCUGUUUCCAUGAAUUGACUCUCGGAGCACAUCUUAAGGCAUUUAUUUGUGAUGUUCCCUAACCUCUUCUCUGAAUCACUGAUUCCCGAGAAAAUCUUCUUUAUAUGUAUAUUUAUAGAAUAUAAAUAUAUAUUUAUAUUUAUAGAAUAUUUAUAUUUAGAGAAUAAAAG